rnacentral:rRNA from 1 species
UACAGAGGGUGCAAGCGUUAAUCGGAGUUACUGGGCGUAAAGGGCGCGUAGGCGGUUAUUUAAGUUGGAUGUGAAAUCCCUGGGCUUAACCUAGGAACUGCAUUCGAAACUGGAUGACUGGAGUACUGUAGAGGGUAGUGGAAUUUCCGGUGUAGCGGUGAAAUGCGUAGAGAUCGGAAGGAACACCAGUGGCGAAGGCGGCUACCUGGACAGAUACUGACACUGAGGCGCGAAAGCGUGGGGAGCAAACAGG